GGAGAGGUGGCAGAGUGGUCGAUUGCACCGGUCUUGAAAACCGGCGGGCCUUCGCGGGCUCCGUGAGUUCGAAUCUCACCCUCUCCGCCA
rnacentral:tRNA from 2 species